CAUAUUUACACUGUAUUCCAUUCCAGCGCGAUGACUCAGAAUUCAGAAGGUUGGUGCUUCAGCCACCCACAGCAGGUUUUCCAGGUGCUUUUCUUCUCAGGGCCCAAGAGGAUCGUCUUGGGUGGAUGCUGCCACCUGGUGGCCAGUAUGGGAAGCUUUAAAAAGGUGAGACUGCUUUCUUCCUCUCUCUCAGAGGGAGGCAGGGGGAACUUAAACCAGGCAUUCUUUUAGGUCCUUACUAAAAGCUCAACAAAUCCCACCAAAGUGCUUUAAAUAUAGUAAACACCGAGUAAUCACAGGUACAGAGAAUAGAUUGGUGGUUUCCAGAGGCAGGUGUGUGGGGUGAACAAAUGGGGUGAGGAAUGUCAAAAGAUACACAAUUUCAGUUACAAAACGAAUGUCCUGAGGAUGCAAAGUACAGCAUGGUGACUCCAUUUAAUGAUACUGUAUUUCAUAUUUGAAAGUUGCUAAGAGAGAAGAUCUUAAAAGUUCUCUUGCAAGACUGAUGUUUUUAUGGUGAUGGGUGUUAACUAGACUUAUUAUGGUGAUCAUUUUGCCAUAUAUACAAAUAACCAAUCAUUAUACUUGAAGCUAAUAUAAUAUGUCAAUUAGACCUCAAUUAAAAACACUCAAUUAAAGAAAGAGUUCUAGGGGUUCCUGAAGUGGUGCAGUGGAAACAAAUCCUACUAGGAACCAUGAGGUCGCAGGUUUGAUCCCUCAUCUCGCUCAGUGGGUUGAGGAUCCAGCAUUGCCCUGAGCUGUGGUGUAGUUCCCAGAUGCAGCUUGGAUAUGGCAUUGCUGUGGCUGUGGUGUAGGCCAGCAGCUGUAGCUCCAAUUGGACCCAUAGCCUGGGAACCUCCAUAUGCCGUGGGUGUAGCCAUAAAAAGCAAAAAAAAAAAAAAAAAAAAAAAAAGGCUCCAUUUUAGUUAGAAUAUCCCAUUACAAAGGAAAUUAAAAGUGAUGGAUUUUUCUUUUCUCUUGCUUUUUUAGAGCCACGCCUGAGGCAUAUGGAAGUUCCCAGGCUAGGAGGUGAAUCUGAACUGCAGCCACCAGUCUACGCCACAGCCAUACCAGAUCUGAGCUGCAUCUGUGACCUAUACCACAGCUUUCAGCAACUCCACUGAACGAGGCCAGGGAUCGAAUCCACAUCUGCAUGGAUACAAGUCAGGUUCCUAACCUGCUGAGCCGCAAUAGGAACUCCAGAGGUUUUCUUUUUCGUUUUCUGGGUUUU
rnacentral:lncRNA from 1 species